UACGGAGGGUGCGAGCGUUGUUCGGAAUCAUUGGGCGUAAAGAGCGUGUAGGUGGCUGAAUAAGUCAGGUGUGAAAUCCCUUGGCUCAACCAAGGAAGCGCAUCUGAAACUGUUUGGCUUGAGUACGGGAGGGGAAUGGCGGAAUUCCCAGUGUAGAGGUGAAAUUCAUAGAUAUUGGGAGGAACACCGGUGGCGAAGGCGGCCUUCUAGCCCGAUACUGACACUGAGACGCGAAAGCGUGGGGA
rnacentral:rRNA from 1 species